CCUACGGGAGGCAGCAGUAGGGAAUAUUGCUCAAUGGGGGAAACCCUGAAGCAGCAACGCCGCGUGGAGGAUGAAGGUUUUCGGAUUGUAAACUCCUUUUGUUAGAGAAGAGUAGGACGGUGUCUAACUAAUAAGCACCAGCUAACGCCAUGCCAGCAGCCGCGGUAAUACGGGGGGGUCAAGCGUUACUCGGGAUCAUUGGGAGUAAAGAGCGCGUAGGCGGGGUAGCAAGUCAGAUGUGAAAUCCUAUGGCUUAACCAUAGAACUGCAUUUGAAACUGUUAUUCUAGAGUAUGGGAGAGGCAGGUGGAAUUCUUGGUGUAGGGGUAAAAUGCGUAGAGAUUAAGAGGAACACUAAUUGCGAAGGCGACCUGCUAGACCACAACUGACGCUGAUGCGCGAAAGCGUGGGGAGCAAACAGGAUUAGAUACCCCUGUAGUC
rnacentral:rRNA from 1 species